UACGUAGGGUGCGAGCGUUAAUCGGAAUUACUGGGCGUAAAGCGUGCGCAGGCGGUUUUGUAAGACAGAUUUGGACUCCCCGGGCUUAACCUGGGAACUGCAUUUGUGACUGCAAGACUAGAGUGCGGCAGAGGGGGGUAGAAUUCCACGUGUAGCAGGGAAAUGCGUAGAUAUGUGGAGGAAUACCGAUGGCGAAGGCAGCCCCCGGGGUCGACACUGACGCUCAGGCACGAAAGCGUGGGGAGCAAACAGG
rnacentral:rRNA from 1 species